AGAGACCUCACUUUGAUUGCUGGCGGCAGAGCUUGGAGGACCAUUGAUGAAAGGUCUCAUACGUUUGUAGGCUUGGGAAGCGAAGUACCCAAAGAGACCAUGCACACGUCAACAUGGUCAUGCAUAUAGGUCAUACGAGCAGGGGAGGGAAUGAGAAAGAUGUUUGUGAUGGGUGAAAGGUAGAAUAUGUGGAUGAGGUAGUGAGAGAAUAGUGUGCAUGAAGGGUAUGUGGUGUAGAGA
rnacentral:lncRNA from 1 species